rnacentral:rRNA from 1 species
GGGCCCGCACAAGCAGUGGAGUAUGUGGUUUAAUUCGAAGCAACGCGAAGAACCUUACCAGGUCUUGACAUUGACUGACCAUCACAGAGAUGUGACUUCCCUUCGGGGACAGGAAAACAGGUGGUGCAUGGUUGUCGUCAGCUCGUGUCGUGAGAUGUUGGGUUAAGUCCCGCAACGAGCGCAACCCUUAUCAUUAGUUGCUACAUUUAGUUGAGCACUCUAAAGAGACUGCCGUUGAUAAACGGAGGAAGGUGGGGAUGAGGUCAAAUCAUCAUGCCCUUUAUGACCUGGGCUACACACGUACUACAAUGGCGCGAACAAAGAGAAGCUAUGGCGCGAGCCGGAGCGAAACUGAAAAAACGCGUCUCAGUUCGGAUUGCAGGCUGAAACUCGCCUGUAUGAAGUUGGAAUUGCUAGUAAUCGCGGAUCAGCAUGCCG